rnacentral:rRNA from 1 species
GGAAUAUUGGUCAAUGGCCGAGAGGCUGAACCAGCCAUGCCGCGUGCGGGAGGACGGCCCUAUGGGUUGUAAACCGCUUUUUUGUGGGAGCAAUAAGGGUCACGUGUGACCUGAUGAGAGUACCAUACGAAUAAGCAUCGGCUAACUCCGUGCCAGCAGCCGCGGUAAUACGGAGGAUGCGAGCGUUAUCCGGAUUUAUUGGGUUUAAAGGGUGCGUAGGCGGGUGAUUAAGCGUGAGGUGAAAUGCCACGGCUCAACCGUGGAACUGCCUCGCGAACUGGUCGUCUGGAAUGCUCCUGCCGUGGGAGGAAUGGGUAGUGUAGCGGUGAAAUGCAUAGAUAUUACCCAGAACACCGAUUGCGAAGGCAUCUCACGAAGGGGUGAUUGACGCUGAUGCACGAAAGCGUGGGGAUCGAACA